rnacentral:rRNA from 1 species
CGCUGAAUGCAUCUAAGUGGGAAACCCUCCCCAAGAUGAACACUCCCGAGCCGUAAGGCUCCUCAAGGGCCCUGGGAGACUACCAGGUUGAUAGGCGGCAGGUGUAAGGCGCGCGAGCGCUUCAGCCGAGCCGUACUAAUUGCCCGUGAGGCUUGAUCUC